GUCUCAGUUCGGAUCGCAGGCUGCAACCCGCCUGCGUGAAGUCGGAAUCGCUAGUAAUCGCGGAUCAGCAUGCCGCGGUGAAUACGUUCCCGGGCCUUGUACACACCGCCCGUCACACCAUGAGAGUCGGGAACACCCGAAGUCCGUAGCCUAACCGCAAGGGGGGCGCGGCCGAAGGUGGGUUCGAUAAUUGGGGUGAAGUCGUAACAAGGUAAC
rnacentral:rRNA from 1 species